GGAGAAUGAAAAAUUGGUAGGUUGAGGUCAGAAGUUUAUUUCUGAAGAUUAUGAUUAGACUUUUUAAUCAGAUUUUUUUUUUUUUUCUAGGUGUGGCUAAUUAUUCAAGUUUAAUAGACUAAUAGUUGAUGAAAUGUUUAAUUAGAAGAAAAGUCUUACCUACCAUUUAGAACCCAAACCUACCUGCCACUUAUGAAUUAUUAUUAACUUUUUUUUUGGCUAAAUAUGUUUUUAGUACCUAUAUUUUGGGGCAAUUUUGGUUUUAGUCUCUUUCUCAAAACUAAGGUACAAUUUAGUCCUUUAACUUUAAAAAA
rnacentral:lncRNA from 1 species